AAGGCUUUAAGUUAAAAAACUAAUAGCCUUCAAAGCUAUAAUUAUAAGUAUCAAUCUUUUAAGCCUUA
rnacentral:tRNA from 1 species